rnacentral:rRNA from 1 species
ACCUUCAACGACGGAUAUCUCGGCUUUCGCAACGAUGAAGAACGCAGCGAAAUGCGAUACGUUAUGCGAAUUGCAGAUCCAUGCGAAGCAUCAAGCUUUGAACGCACAUUGCGCCUCUGUCCGUUUC